CUACAAAGGAAUUGACGGGGGCCCGCACAAGCGGUGGAGCAUGUGGUUAAUUCGACGCAACGCGAAGAACCUUACCAGGGCUUGACAUCCCCUGACCGCGUAUGAAAGUACGUUUUCACCCUCGGGUGACAGGGAGACAGGUGGUGCAUGGUUGUCGUCAGCUCGUGUCGUGAGAUGUUGGGUUAAGUCCCGCAACGAGCGCAACCCCUACGUUUAGUUGCUAACGCGUGAAGGCGAGCACUCUAGACGAACUGCCGUUGACAAAACGGAGGAAGGUGGGGAUGACGUCAAAUCAUCAUGCCCCUUAUGUUCUGGGCUACACACGUGCUACAAUGGCCGGUACAGACGGACGCAAAGCCGCGAGGUGGAGCAAAUCCUAAAAAGCCGGUCUCAGUUCGGAUUGCAGGCUGCAAUUCGCCUGCAUGAAGUCGGAAUCGCUAGUAAUCGCAGGUCAGCAUACUGCGGUGAAUACGUUCCCGGGCCUU
rnacentral:rRNA from 1 species